rnacentral:rRNA from 1 species
GUGUACCUGCGGAAGGAUCAUU